rnacentral:pre_miRNA from 11 species
CCCUCUGCUGUGGUCUAUGGCUUUUUAUUCCUAUGUGAUUGCUUUUCAUAACUCAUGUAGGGCUAAAAGCCAUGGGCUACACAGAGGA